AACGACUCUCGGCAACGGAUAUCUCGGCUCUCGCAUCGAUGAAGAACGUAGCGAAAUGCGAUACUUGGUGUGAAUUGCAGGAUCCCGUGAACCACCGAGUCUUUGAACGCAAGUUGCGCCCGGAGCCUUCUGGCCGAGGGCACGUCUGCCUGGGCGUCACGC
rnacentral:rRNA from 2 species